GCGUAAAGGCUCUGUAUAAGUAAUUCCCUUGGCUAGUUCCCGAACAGACAUCAACGUUUUCUUAUCAGAUAAAUGCUCAAUCAUCUCCUUCUCUUGCUGAAACACUUGUUCAGCAUGACUUAUCUCAGGUUGCUCUUUCUUUAACUGAGAUGCCUUCACAAGUAAACUAGGCUUCGCUUCAACAAGCUUUAUUUUCUCCUCUUCUUCUUCAAAUGCUUCAGAUUUCCCCUUGCGCUGAAGGAUCUUUUGGGCCUCAAUUGCCCUGCGCUUAGCAACUGGUACAUACUCAACGUAAUCAUCCUCCUCUUCAAUCUCCAUAUUUAAGUGGUCUGCCAUCUGAGCAAUAGCAAAAAAGUAGGUAAUUGCAGAGAGACUAAUCUCCGCUCGAGUAAUUGCUGGGAACUAAAUUCCGGCGACCACUAGUAUGUUGCUGCGCUCAAGGUCCGUUGCCGUUCUGAUGAAGGAUGAAUCAAUUUCAGGUAUUUAUAGUAUGCCACUGAAUUAGGAUCCAAAACAUAAAUAAGCCGACUUCUCCAGAAGGAGAGCAA
rnacentral:misc_RNA from 1 species